rnacentral:lncRNA from 1 species
GUCGAAACUGGGAGGCUGCUUUUCUCCUGUGGUCCCACUCGUAGGCAAUUUCCACAUCUCUAGAAGCAGCAAGUGGGGCCUCAGUUUUGUAGGGGAUGCAGAUUCAAGGUCACCCAUCACUCAAGAAUGGCAAGGGCCAAGAGUCUGACUCCAGGGGGACUUCAAAUACCCUACUCAACUCUAUCUCAUAAAGCUGCAAUUACUAUCUGCAGUUUACAGAUAAAGAAAUGGAAUUCCAGAGAAAGAAGACCAAGACUCCGUGCAAGACUCAAACAAAUGGCGUAUGAACUCACAGUGAGAGGGGCUGAGUCUCCACAGCCGGCGGAAGUCUGUGGAAACAGAGGGUGCAGUGACUGUGAGGAGGAGCGCUCCAGGUGGCAGACGCAGGUGACCGCGCCUGCUGAGGAAGCAGAGGCAGCUGGACGAGCACAGACGAGGAUCUCAGGACCACGGAGAAGCAAAACAACGUUGGGUUAUGAGAACCGCUGCAUCUCGGAAAGAAGUGAAGAGUACAGCUUUACGGGACCACCAUUCUGUAAAUCACAUUCCUGGGAACAGGAGGAGCUGCUGCAGGGGAGGAUUGGCCCUCCAAGUUUGCAGCACACAGGGCAACACUACAGAGAGCCCGCGGGGAGAGGGGCCCUGCUUCCAGGGAUGGCGUCUUGGCUCAUUUCAGGCCACAGACAUAGUGGAGGUCAAGCCUGGCGCCCACCUCUUCUCACAUGA